UCAAAUCAGUGUGAAAACACCGUUUCUCCUUCGAUCGCCAAAGUUAAGCCCCGUCGAGCCCGGUUAGUACUUGGAUGGGGACUGCUAGCGAACACCGGUUACUGUAAG